rnacentral:rRNA from 1 species
CCUACGGGUGGCAGCAGUGAGGAAUAUUGCUCAAUGGGCGGGAGCCUGAACCAGCCAAGUCGCGUGAGGGAAGAAGGUACUGAGUAUUGUAAACCUCUUUUGCCAGGGGACAAAGGCGGCCACGGGUGGCCGUAAGAGGGUACCUGGAGAAAAAGCAUCGGCUAACUCCGUGCCAGCGGCCGCGGUAAUCCGGAGGAUGCGAGCGUUAUCGGGAUUUAUUGGGUGACAAGGGUGCGAGGGCGGAGUGUAAAGUCAGCGGUAAAAUGUCGGGGCUAAACCCCGGCCGGCCGUUGAAACUGGGGUGCUCGAGUGGGAGAGAAGUAAGCGGAAUUCGUGGUGUAGCGGUGAAAUGCAUAGAUAUCACGAAGAACACCGAUGGCGAAGGCAGCAUACCGG